rnacentral:tRNA from 1 species
AAGAUUUUAGGUUAUAUUAGACCAUAGGCCUUCAAAGCCUGAAGAGAGGUAUACUUCAAAUCUUG